rnacentral:lncRNA from 1 species
GAGUGAGUAAACCUGGAGUAAAGAGUGAACAAAGCUUGGAGUAAACUGUGAGGAAACAUGGAGUAAAAUAUGUGUAAACCCUGGCGUAGAAUGUGAGCAAAACCUGAUGUAAACUGUGAGUAAAGCUAGAGAAAAGUGUGAGUAAACCCAAAGUAAAGGGUGUGUAAGCCCGGAGUAAAUAAUGAGGAAACCUGGUGCAAAUUGUGAGUAAACCCAAAGUAACCUUGAAGUUAAAACCUAAAGCAUAUUGUUAGGAACCGCGGAGUAAAUUGUGAGUAAAGCCCUGAGUAAAGUGAGAGUAAACCCAGAGAAAAGUGUGAGUAAACCUUUGCUACUGCAAAGCCCGUGGGCCCUCGGUGUGCAGGGACACUGCUCUCCCCCCAUCCGCCCAGCCUGUGAUGCCAUCAUAGAAGGCUACCAG